UGCAAGUCGAGCGGAAACGAGUUAUCUGAACCUUCGGGGAACGAUAACGGCGUCGAGCGGCGGACGGGUGAGUAAUGCCUAGGAAAUUGCCUUGAUGUGGGGGAUAACCAUUGGAAACGAUGGCUAAUACCGCAUGAUGCCUACGGGCCAAAGAGGGGGACCUUCGGGCCUCUCGCGUCAAGAUAUGCCUAGGUGGGAUUAGCUAGUUGGUGAGGUAAUGGCUCACCAAGGCGACGAUCCCUAGCUGGUCUGAGAGGAUGAUCAGCCACACUGGAACUGAGACACGGUCCAGACUCCUACGGGAGGCAGCAGUGGGGAAUAUUGCACAAUGGGCGCAAGCCUGAUGCAGCCAUGCCGCGUGUAUGAAGAAGGCCUUCGGGUUGUAAAGUACUUUCAGCAGUGAGGAAGGGGGUGUCGUUAAUAGCGGCAUCUCUUGACGUUAGCUGCAGAAGAAGCACCGGCUAACUCCGUGCCAGCAGCCGCGGUAAUACGGAGGGUGCGAGCGUUAAUCGGAAUUACUGGGCGUAAAGCGCAUGCAGGUGGUUUGUUAAGUCAGAUGUGAAAGCCCGGGGCUCAACCUCGGAACUGCAUUUGAAACUGGCAAACUAGAGUACUGUAGAGGGGGGUAGAAUUUCAGGUGUAGCGGUGAAAUGCGUAGAGAUCUGAAGGAAUACCAGUGGCGAAGGCGGCCCCCUGGACAGAUACUGACACUCAGAUGCGAAAGCGUGGGGAGCAAACAGGAUUAGAUACCCUGGUAGUCCACGCCGUAAACGAUGUCUACUUGGAGGUUGUGGCCUUGAGCCGUGGCUUUCGGAGCUAACGCGUUAAGUAGACCGCCUGGGGAGUACGGUCGCAAGAUUAAAACUCAAAUGAAUUGACGGGGGCCCGCACAAGCGGUGGAGCAUGUGGUUUAAUUCGAUGCAACGCGAAGAACCUUACCUACUCUUGACAUCCAGAGAACUUUUCAGAGAUGRAUUGGUGCCUUCGGGAACUCUGAGACAGGUGCUGCAUGGCUGUCGUCAGCUCGUGUUGUGAAAUGUUGGGUUAAGUCCCGCAACGAGSSCAACCCUUAUCCUUGUUUGCCAGCGAGUAAUGUCGGGAACUCCAGG
rnacentral:rRNA from 1 species